UGCUAAUACCCGAUAUGCCGAGAGGUGAAACCUAAUUGGCCUGAAGAAGAGCUUGCGUCUGAUUAGCUAGUUGGUGGGGUAAGGGCCUACCAAGGCGACGAUCAGUAGCUGGUCUGAGAGGAUGAGCAGCCACACUGGGACUGAGACACGGCCCAGACUCCUACGGGAGGCAGCAGUGGGGAAUUUUCCGCAAUGGGCGAAAGCCUGACGGAGCAACGCCGCGUGAGGGAGGAAGGUCUUUGGAUUGUAAACCUCUUUUCUCAAGGAAGAAGUUCUGACGGUACUUGAGGAAUCAGCCUCGGCUAACUCCGUGCCAGCAGCCGCGGUAAUACGGGGGAGGCAAGCGUUAUCCGGAAUUAUUGGGCGUAAAGCGUCCGCAGGUGGUCAGCCAAGUCUGCCGUCAAAUCAGGUUGCUUAACUACCUAAAGGCGGUGGAAACUGGCAGACUAGAGAGCAGUAGGGGUAGCAGGAAUUCCCAGUGUAGCGGUGAAAUGCGUAGAGAUUGGGAAGAACAUCGGUGGCGAAAGCGUGCUACUGGGCUGUAUCUGACACUCAGGGACGAAAGCUAGGGGAGCGAAAGGGAUUAGAUACCC
rnacentral:rRNA from 1 species